UACGUAGGGGGCGAGCGUUGUCCGGAUUUAUUGGGCGUAAAGAGCUCGUAGGCGGUUCGAUAAGUCGGACGUGAAAUCUCCACGCUCAACGUGGAGGGGCCGUUCGAUACUGUCGUGACUCGAGUCCGGUAGGGGAGUGUGGAAUUCCCGGUGUAGCGGUGAAAUGCGCAGAGAUCGGGAGGAACACCCGUAGCGAAGGCGGCACUCUGGGCCGGUACUGGACGCUGAGGAGCGAAAGCGUGGG
rnacentral:rRNA from 1 species